rnacentral:lncRNA from 1 species
UUGGAUCAGAAAGAUAUUUGCUUCCAUCAUUAUAAAAAGAUUGUUAAAUCAAAAUUGUGAAUUAACCAUAUAAAAAUUAAUUGAGAUAAAUAUUUUUGGAAUGAUAUUUGACAAGUGACGUAACUGACAGUUGUUAUUUUCAAGUUUCAGUAAAAAUAAACAUUUUUCCUUUUUAAUAAUAUAAAUGCAAUAUUUCAAAUGUGUCAGAUAUCAAGUCAAUAAACAAUAAAUUUGCUUAUUUUUUGGUGCACCAUAUCUAUUUUAUAGAAAGUAGAUAUAUUUUAGUCACAGUAUUUUAGAGUAUACAUAUCAAGAAAAUAUUGGAUUGUAUAAAAGAAACUCCUGGUAAGGCGCCCUCAAACAAAA